rnacentral:tRNA from 1 species
GGCUCGAUAGCUUAGUUGAUAAAGCACUCGUCUAGCAUACAAGAGUUGUGGGUUCGAAUCCCAUCUGAGCAC